CGCCUCCUGCAUAACCAUAUGAGGUCCAGCCUGCCCAGUGACUUAAUUAAACGGCCGCGGUAUUCUAACCGUGCGAAGGUAGCGUAAUCACUUGUUCUAUAAAUCAGGACUCGUAUGAACGGCAUCACGAAGGUUACACUGUCUCCUUUUUCUAAUCAGUGAAAUUAAUCCCCCUGUGAAAAAGCAGGGAUAAACUUAUAAGACGAGAAGACCCUAUGGAGCUUUAAAUAUGUAAUAUUUGUUAUAAUUUACAAUGCCUUUUCAUAACAACAUACUUAUAAUUUUAGGUUGGGGAGACCGCGGUGCAAAACAAAACCCCCGCGUAAAACAACUAAGAACCACAAUUCCUACACCAAUAUUUUUGACAAAUUGACCCAAAUAAUUGAACAACGAACCAAGUUACCCUAGGGAUAACAGCGCAAUCCACUUUAAGAGCUCAUAUCGACAAGUGGGCUUACGACCUCGAUGUUGGAUCAGGGUCUCCCAGUGGUGCAGCCGCUACUAAAGGUUCGUUUGUUCAACGAUUAAUACCCU
rnacentral:rRNA from 2 species